AGUGAACGCUGGCGGUAGGCCUAACACAUGCAAGUCGAACGGCAGCACAGUAAGAGCUUGCUCUUACGGGUGGCGAGUGGCGGACGGGUGAGGAAUACAUCGGAAUCUACUUUUUCGUGGGGGAUAACGUAGGGAAACUUACGCUAAUACCGCGUACGACCUACGGGUGAAAGCAGGGGAUCUUCGGACCUUGCGCGAUUGAAUGAGCCGAUGUCGGAUUAGCUAGUUGGCGGGGUAAAGGCCCACCAAGGCGACGAUCCGUAGCUGGUCUGAGAGGAUGAUCAGCCACACUGGAACUGAGACACGGUCCAGACUCCUACGGGAGGCAGCAGUGGGGAAUAUUGGACAAUGGGCGCAAGCCUGAUCCAGCCAUACCGCGUGGGUGAAGAAGGCCUUCGGGUUGUAAAGCCCUUUUGUUGGGAAAGAAAAGCAGCAGGUUAAUACCACGCUGUUCUGACGGUACCCAAAGAAUAAGCACCGGCUAACUUCGUG
rnacentral:rRNA from 1 species